CAAUUUCGAAAUCAUGAUAUGAAGUAGCUUGUACUUCUAUAGGGCUCUGUAUUAACUUUUAAAAGAGAUUAGAACAUGAGAGCACAAAGAGGAGAUCUGUGAGAAGAGUUCAUUCCCUCAACAGAGGAAUCCAGAUGCCACCUUUUCCCCAGUGAGCACUGCGUAAGCUCCUCUUAAAUCCCAAAGUGAUCAUUAUUCUCCAGAUUUAGAUAACUCCAAACUUAGCCUGUCAAGAAAGACUCAGUAAUUAUUUAACAAUCAGUCACCCAAGGAACUCAGGAACCUCUAGGAGAGGAAUAAGACUAGACCCCCAAAGCAGCUGAAACAAUAAUACUACUUUAUCUCCAAAAGAGUUCAUAGACUAGAUACCUGCCCACUAUCUAGUCCUUAAAACAGGCACAAAAAAAGAAAGCAAGGAAGACAAAACCAAUUUUUGCCCAUUUAACCGAACCCCUGCCAUUUAUUAUUUUUCCCUGCUCCCUAAUUGUUGACUUCUUGGCUCCUUCAUCCCCACUUCAACAACUGUUUCCAGUCUCCUUGAUUUUGACAAUUCCUUUAUAUCUUCUUGGAUUUCAAUCUCAUGUUAUAAUCUGAACUUGGCUCAUCUCUCUGAUUUUGGCAUAUCUACUAGUAUACAAAUCUGUAUAGGAUAUUAUUUGCUUCUCUUCCUCCUUUUCUUCAUUAGUUGAGGUUGUAAAAUUCAGAUAUCUAUAAACUGAAACAUGCAGUCUCCACAUAAUCAACCACUCACAAACUGGCCACCACUACAGCGUAAUGGAAAAAUUUAAUAAUAUAAAAAUGUAAAGCAUCUAAUACAGUGUACUGAAUUCAGCAAUGGUCCAAUUCUAAUAUGCAUUCCAUGAGGAAAAGAAGGGAGGAAGGAAGGAAAGGAGGGAGGGAGGAAGGAAGGAAGGAGGGAGGAAGAAAUGAAGGAAGGAGGGAGGAAGAGAGGUAACAAAGAGGAGGAGGGAGGGAGGAAAGGAAGGAAGGAAAGAAGAAGAGGAAAUAGAUUUGGAAGCUGCCUUAGUCAGAGUCAUUGCAUAUAGAUCAUCAUAACUGCUUUACCUCAUCAUCAUGAGAAAUAAGACUGAAAUUAAUUUCAAAAUGGAUUUUCAGGAGAGAGGUGGAGGCCGCAUAUGCAAGAAAAAAACCCAUAACAUCUCCUUGUUGGCUUUAUUGAAUCUUUAUAAUUUUCCAAGACUGGGAAUGCAUUAAACCCAAGACAUACAAAUGAAAUUGGUCUUUGACUAACAAAAGCCAAUCCAUUUGCUUAUUUAUUCACUCAACAAACAUAUAAUUCACUCAACAAAUACAUAAUAAGAACCAACAAUACACUUUCACAUACAACACCAAAAGAAGAAAAUACUGGGCAGGUGGAGUCUAUAAAUGCAAACUGAACCCUUCAUGAAGCUCAGGCCUAACUCAUUUCUUCUAGCAGUGCCAUCUCUUUGUUCACCUCUCUAAUAUCCCUCUAUAGUAAAGUUCCAAUCUGAGUGUUAACUACAAUAAUAAUUCUACAUCACCUGAAGAUCCUCUCUCUUCAACAACAUAUCCGAACAACAACAUCAUUUCAAUUCACCCUCAGAAAAACAUUCAAGCCUGCUGGUUUUUAGUACUCAAGCAUGAUGGCCACCCCCCUCCAACUCUAUUUUCACCAAUUAUAGAACAACCACCAUUUUAAAAUAAGUGAUUUCCUUCUAAGACACAUCCUUCUUCAGAGAGCCUCCACGUUCCACCCCAUCUACAUGAGCAAUUCCUUAAUUUUGUUGUAUAUCAAGAAGAUAAACUAGACCUAACCAAUCCUGGAGAUACAAUAAAAUCAACAGAAACAUCUUAGGAAAAUAUACUUCUAAGUUUUAAAAGACAAGACUUUUCUCUGAUUCUGAAUGUUCUCUGGACUUUUUUUUUAAUGAAUAACAUCCUGUUUUGAAAUAUAGCAAGAUAUGGAUCCAAAUGCAGAGCCUAUGAUAAGAAAAUUUUGUUUCUGUAUAUUCACAUUGAUUUUUUUAGAAGAGACUUAUACUUUACAAAAUAAGACCUUUUAUAACAGGCAGUCUAUGAUACAAAUUUAGUAGAUGUCUGAAACAUUCCAUUUAAUGUCAGAGCAGCCUUUUCUCCAUUACAUGGUAUAUACAAUAUGCAAUAAUGUUAUUCAUUCUUUCAUUCAAAAAUACAAUUUAGCCUUUUCUAAAAUGCCAGGCAAUGUGCCUCAGACUUGGGGUAAAACAGUAAAUAAAACAUA
rnacentral:lncRNA from 1 species